AAACCGGUUGAUCCUGCCGGACCUGACCGCUAUCGGGGUGGGGCUAAGCCAUGCGAGUCGCGCGCCCGGGGCGCCGGGCGCGGCGCACGGCUCAGUAACACGUGCCCAACCUACCCUCGGGAGGGGGACAACCCCGGGAAACUGGGGCUGAUCCCCCAUAGGGGAAGGGCGCUGGAAGGCCCCUUCCCCCAAAGGGAUCUCGGGCGAUCUCCCGGGAUCCGCCCGAGGAUGGGGGCACGGCCCAUCAGGUUGUUGGCGGGGUAACGGCCCGCCAAGCCGAAGACGGGUAGGGGCGGUGAGAGCCGUGAGCCCCGAGAUGGGCACUGAGACAAGGGCCCAGGCCCUACGGGGUGCAGCAGGCGCGAAUACUCCGCAAUGCGGGCAACCGCGACGGGGCCACCCCGAGUGCCGGGCGAAGAGCCCGGCUUUUGCCCGGUGUAAGGAGCCGGGCGAAUAAGCGGGGGGUAAGUCUGGUGUCAGCCGCCGCGGUAAUACCAGCCCCGCGAGUGGUCAGGGUGAUUACUGGGCUUAAAGCGCCCGUAGCCGGCCCGGCAAGUCGCUCCUGAAAUCCCCGGGCUCAACCCGGGGGCCGGGGGCGAUACUGCCGGGCUAGGGGGCGGGAGAGGCCGCCGGUACUCCGGGGGUAGGGGCGAAAUCCUAUAAUCCCCGGAGGACCACCAGUGGCGAAAGCGGGCGGCCAGAACGCGCCCGACGGUGAGGGGCGAAAGCCGGGGGAGCAAAGGGGAUUAGAUACCCCUGUAGUCCCGGCUGUAAACGAUGCGGGCUGGCUGUCGGCCGGGCUUAGGGCCCGGCCGGUGGCGUAGGGAAACCGUUAAGCCCGCCGCCUGGGGAGUACGGCCGCAAGGCUGAAACUUAAAGGAAUUGGCGGGGGGGCACCACAAGGGGUGAAGCUUGCGGCUUAAUUGGAGUCAACGCCGGAAACCUUACCCGGGGCGACAGCAGGAUGAAGGCCAGGCUAACGACCUUGCCGGACGAGCUGAGAGGAGGUGCAUGGCCGUCGUCAGCUCGUGCCGUGAGGUGUCCGGUUAAGUCCGGCAACGAGCGAGACCCCCACCCCUAGUUGCUUCCCCGCUCUUCGGGACGGGGGGCACACUAGGGGGACUGCCGGCGUAAGCCGGAGGAAGGAGGGGGCCACGGCAGGUCAGUAUGCCCCGAAACCCCGGGGCUGCACGCGAGCUGCAAUGGCGGGGACAGCGGGAUCCGACCCCGAAAGGGGGAGGCAAUCCCGUAAACCCCGCCCCAGUAGGGAAUCGAGGGCUGCAACUCGCCCUCGUGAACGUGGAAUCCCUAGUAACCGCGUGUCACCAACGCGCGGUGAAUACGUCCCUGCCCCUUGCACACACCGCCCGUCGCACCACCCGAGGGAGUUCUCUGCGAGGCCCCUUGCCUGGGGCAACCCGGGUGGGGGGACGAGCAGAGAACUCCCGAGGGGGGUGAAGUCGUAACAAGGUAGCCGUAGGGGAACCUGCGGCUGGAUCACCUCCU
rnacentral:rRNA from 20 species